rnacentral:RNase_P_RNA from 1 species
GAAACGAAGUGGACAGUCGCUGAAUAAACCUUUUAAGGAUGAUUCAGAGGAAAGUCCGGGCUCCAAAGAGUGCAGUGCCGAAUAACAUUCGGGAUGUCGGCUGUAAUGGUCGGCAGACGGACAGUGCAGCAGAAAUAUACCGCCUGCAAGCAGGUAAGGGUGAAAUGGCGAGGUAAGAGCUCACCUGAUAAUCGGCAACGGUUAUGCAAUGUAAACCCCACUGGGAGCAAUGUCAAGCAGAAAGAGAGUUACUCGCUCUGAUAUGAAAAUAUCAAAUCUUUCGGGUAGGCAGCGUCACAAAUUCGGCAACGAAUUUGGCAGAUAGAUGACUGUUUCAAACAAAACCCGGCUUAUUAGCUUUGUUUCUCUU